rnacentral:ncRNA from 2 species
ACAGCCCGGUCGGGAGAGCUCUCGGUUCACGCCGGGGCGCCGAAGGAGCAAGCACUCCCCGCACACUCUCAGGCAACAAGACCGGCCGGGCGAG